rnacentral:lncRNA from 1 species
AUCAGACCGAGUCUGAAGCUGACUGGGACCUUGUCCCCUACAUCGAACCUGAGUCCGAAGCUGACAUCGAACCGGAGUCCGAAGCUGACCGGGACCUUGUCCCCUACAUCGAACCUGAGUCCGAAGCUGACAUCGAACCGGAGUCCGAAGCUGACCGGGACCUUGUCCCCUACAUCGAACCUGAGUCCGAAGCUGACAUCGGACCGAAGUCCGAAGCUAACUGAUCAUAACAUAACGUAUCACUUAGCAUGAACACACAUAAUCCUGUCUGAGCCACGAAGGCUUCAAACAUGCUAACUACUGCGUCGGAUAAAGAUCUGGAUACUACUGCUAGCUAAACGGGCCGGCAUUGUGGCCUUAGACCCGCUCCUACUGAAAAGGAACUCACCUCGUGAAUUGGCUGCUGAGUGAAUAGCUCUGAGGGCUAACUGCUGCUGCUCCGGUAUCUCCCCGGCUACAAGUCCAUAAACAUACUCAAUCAAAUACUAAACACUGCACUGGGUAAAAUGACUCUUUUACCCCAGGUCAAAGUCAACUCUCAGACAAAGUCAACUCUCGGUCAAAGUCAACCCAUAGUUGACCUGACUCGCCGAGUUGGGCCGCCAACUCGCCGAGUCCCUAUCCUCACUCCUCGACUCAACUCGCUGCUACUCGUCGAGUAUGGCAUCGACUCGACGAGUACUCUCCCGAUCCAAGAACUCAGACAAUCUUCAUCCGACUCGCCGAGUCCUAUGAACAACUCGACGAGUUGUUCUUGAGCUUAAGAAGAUUGCCUUGGACUCGCCGAGUUGUAUGAACAACUCGCCGAGUCCCUCC